GACGAACGCUGGCGGCGUGCCUAAUACAUGCAAGUCGAGCGGACGAUUCGAAAGCUUGUUUUUGAAUCGUUAGCGGCGGACGGGUGUGUCACACGUGGGCAAUCUGCUCUGCAGACGGGGAUAAUAACGAGAAAUCGGUGAUUAUACCGGAUAACAUGAAAUGUCGCAUGACGUUUUGUUGAAAGGCGGCGGAAGCUGCUGCAACAGGAUGGGCCCGCGGCGCUUUAGCUAGUUGGUGUGGUAAAGGCUCACCAAGGCGACGAUUCGUAGCCGACCGGAGGGGGUGAUCGGCCACACGAGAACUGAGACACGGCCCAGACGCCUGCGGGAGGCAGCAGUAGGGAAUCUUCCGCAGUGGACGAAAGUCUGACGGAGCAACGCCGCGUGAGCGAAGAAGGCCUUCGGGUCGUAAAGCUCUGUUGUUAGGGAAGAACAAGUAACGUAGUAACUGACGUUACUAUGACGGUACCUAACGAGAAAGCCACGGCUAACUACGUG
rnacentral:rRNA from 1 species